rnacentral:rRNA from 1 species
CCUACGGGAGGCAGCAGUGGGGAAUAUUGGGCAAUGGGCGCAAGCCUGACCCAGCAACGCCGCGUGAAGGAAGAAGGCUUUCGGGUUGUAAACUUCUUUGAAGAGGGAAGAGCAGAAGACGGUACCUCUUGAAUAAGCCACGGCUAACUACGUGCCAGCAGCCGCGGUAAUAGGUAGGUGGCAAGCGUUGUACGGUUUUACUGGGGGUAAAGGGCGGGCAGCCGGGAAGACAAGUCAGAUGUGAAAUCCCGCGGCUCAACCGCGGAACUGCAUUUGAAACUGUUUUUCUUGAGUACCGGAGAGGUCAUCGGAAUUCCUUGUGUAGCGGUGAAAUGCGUAGAUAUAAGGAAGAACACCAGUGGCGAAGGCGGAUGACUGGACGGCAACUGACGGUGAGGCGCGAAAGCGUGGGGAGCAAACAGGAUUAGAUACCCCAGUAGUC